GGCUGCAAUACCGAUAAUGCUCAGCUGGAGUAUAAAAAAACAAGGAAGAGAGCAAGGUAAAAAUAGUUUUUCUUUUUAUUCACACUUUUUUUGUGUGUGUUAAAUCCUUAUUUAUUGAGAUCCUCUUAGCUAACAUUUUCUCAUGCAGGGGAAGAAAUGCACAAAUUCACAAUUCAUACUUUUUUUUUUGCAAAUACAUUUUUACUCACUAACCAUUAAAGGGACACUAUAGUCACCAGAACAACUACAUCUUAAUAUAGUUGUUCUGUUGAGUAUAAUCAUGGGAAAGCAUUGGAUUGGCUAAAAACCAGCAAUUUUGAUUAUAUCACCAUGGGGGCAGACCUGCGCAACGCUGGAAAUAAGGUGAGUUUUAAUUGCUUUUAAAGGGGCCAAGGGGGGGCAUGCACUAUAGGGUCAGGAAUACAUGAUCGGGAGGAGGGGAGUAUGAUGCCGCGGCACGUGACCGGCAGGAGCGGGCAAAGGCUCCUGGGUAGUGUAUGCCAGUCACUGCUGGAAGCACUGAGCGGCGAAAGACGCCGCGGCACGUGACCGGCAGAAAAGAGCAAAGGCUCUUGGGUAAUGUAGUUUAUGCCGGUCACUGCCAGAAGCAAUGAGCGGCUGACGGGAACAUCAUUAGUCAGCCGCUCACCCUCCGAACAUAUAUAGUAAUUUACACAAAUUUAGAUUAUUUAAAAGUUAUAAAAAACGAACAUUAUAUAUUUCAUUAAAAGAAAUAAGACCAGUAAGUUGAGUAAUUACAUGUAUACAUAGGGGUUAUAAAAUACUUAUUAGAUGGUUAUAGAAUAAUUUGCAUACGGAUAUUGCACGCCCCUGCCGGUCACGUGCCGCGGCGUCAUACUCCCCUCCUCCCGAUCAUGUGAUUUUCUUCAAUAUAAAAAAUUAUAAAAACUAACGCUCGUUUUGAAUAAUUAAUCAUCCUCUGUAUAAGACACAAACCUUAUAUAUAAAAUAUUUUUAGUUUUUGCUAUUUUAAAAAACAUGUAAAAUCUUCUGCUAAUUCUUGCCUGUAAUUGGUGCACUCGUUUUAGGUGCCAAUUUUAAUUAUUGUAUAUUUGCUAUAUAAACUGUUCAAUGCCAGGUAAUUGCUCUUAGCCAUUUUUGAUAAAGCCCAUGAGGUGAAACGCGUCAAAUGGUUUUUUACUGUGUAAUUCAACAAUAAAAACUUUUAGUUGGUACCCUUAUUUACAGGACCAAUUUUGUUUUAUUGUACAAACACAUUUUUUAUUUUCUCCUGGCAUUUUACUGUUCCUGUUUAAAGCAAUCCACAGGUGGGGAUUAUUCCACCAGCGCAUUAAUAAUAGAGCAGUAUUCCCUGCUCUAUCAUUGUGAGUAUAUUUUAUUUCAUUUUAUAUUCUGUUUUCUCUUCCUACUGAGAGCACUAUUAUUGUUUUUAUAUACCUUGCAGAAUCCUACGAAACCCAAGCCGGAUGGACGGACCCACUUCCACAGUAAAUCCAUUAGCGGGGAUUAUACCGCUAAGUGCCCUUCAACUAAGAGCUGGUCCAAAGCUCCAACAAAUAUGAGUGUAUUAUCCUCCAUUUUGCUUCUUUUCGCUAAUUCUCUCAGUACAUACUAUACC